UACGUAGGGUGCAAGCGUUGUCCGGAAUUAUUGGGCGUAAAGAGCUCGUAGGCGGUCUGUCGCGUCGGCUGUGAAAACCCGGGGCUCAACCCCGGGCCUGCAGUCGAUACGGGCAGACUAGAGUGCGGUAGGGGAGACUGGAAUUCCUGGUGUAGCGGUGAAAUGCGCAGAUAUCAGGAGGAACACCGGUGGCGAAGGCGGGUCUCUGGGCCGUAACUGACGCUGAGGAGCGAAAGCGUGGGGAGCAAACAGG
rnacentral:rRNA from 1 species